UUUUGAAAAUAUAAACAGAUUUAUUGAGUUAAAAUUAUAUUCUGUUAAGACAUAUGUUUAUGUUGUCUAUUUUGUCCAGCUUUAAUAACCUUAAUGCUUAGAUAAAAAUAGUAGCAAAUAAUUACAGGAUUUUGAAGAUCCACGGGGCAUCUACCUAUAUACCAGUCUGAAAGUGCCUUCCAAGAGGCCUUAAAUGUGGUGUUUCUCACCUCUUUCUACCUUGUUAUGCAUGAAACUGGUUCAUGCAAAGUCUGAUGACUUCUGUGGGCUACCAAUGGAUAUCACUGCUGAGCAUCUUGAGAGUGGACUCUGAGGUCAUCCUUAGGACCAUUCUCAAGGGGCAAUGUCAACAUAUGCAUGUGUGUAUCUACACAUCACAUACAGGCCUGGGAAAGAUCACAGCUCCGAAGUCCUAUUCUGUUACCAGUGAUACUUAACUCCCAGAACAUGACACGUCAGAAUAAAGCACAUUCUGUCUACUACAUUUUUUGUAUGUAUGUAUGUCACCUGUUAGGAAUUCAACUUUGUUGUUCCUUUAGGCUGAUCUACAGCAAGUAUAGGAAAUUAGAAGUCCCAACUAGAAUCUUUCAUGCCAGGGACAAUUUGCUUGGAAAAUAUUUGCUCCAUGCUUUAUGCAUUUCCAUUUUAAGUUUCCUUUUUUAACCACAAAAAAUGCAUGCAAGCCCCCUCUAAUCACCAAAUUAAUUUCAAUAAAAUGAAGCUACAAAAUUUAGAGCUAUGAUUAUAUUCAUAAAUAAUCUGAAACAGGUAAGUAUUUUAACAUUAAUAUAGCAAAGCAAGCCCAUAAGACAAAGAUAACAGCAUCCUAUUUUUGCACGGUUUAGAUUUAACCUUAAAUCUGACUUUUUUUCCCCAUGCUAUACAUUCCAAAUAGGUGCAGAGGCUGUCACCACAUUGGCUUUCUGACUAACAACAACAACUUGUUCUAAAGCAAUGCUAAGUUAUCUAUGGAGUACUUCCUUUUUUUUUCAAGAAGAAUGCCUUUGCUCCCCUGACUUUGAUCUCUCAGGGCUUCAGCAUAACACAGUAUUCCUUAAUUUAAUCUUGGUUUUGAUGUCAUGUAUAUAUAUUUUUUAGAAAAACUUUACAGCUUUAAUUUUCCUUAGUCAUAAAAGACAUCAUGUGCAUCAGCAGCUAUUUUAUAUCCUUUCUGCCCUCCUGUGAUCUCCAUCCAAAAACUUCCCUUACUUGGAAAUCUUUCUGAACACCCAACAAAGUACUCUAAAUCCAGCUUUAAAUGAACUCUUUGUUGCAAUCUCAAUGAGACAACAAAGUCCAGUGGUAAGAAAGAUCCUCUUGGAUUUGGCAGGUUUAAGUUCAGUGCAGGUUCCACAAGGGAUUUCUUACCACUUCAGGCAAGUCAGCUAGUGGGAUCAUUCACUUAAGUAAGUAUCUGUUUUGAAUAUGGACUUUAACAUCCCAUAUAGUAUCCCAGCUUUGAUAUCCCAGCUGAACUGGGGUACUAAACCUCUCUGAUUUUACCAGAGUGUUGUAAGCAUAAUAUAAAAAAUCAGAGUUCUCACACAUCCUGGAAUAAAGGUUUAGAGAGAAGAUCCCCUUUAUGGGUCUUACAGGGCUCUUAAAAGAUUACAGUGUGUGGAGUCUCAAGCAAUUGUUCAGAAUGUAUGUAUGUAUUUUUUAUGAACAACUGAAAGAGCUUGAUUAAAUUCUGAUGCAAAAUGGGACAUUUGCAAAAAAAAAAA
rnacentral:lncRNA from 1 species